CACGAGCAAGUUUGGUGUUUAUGACGUCGAUAUUCGACGUCAUAAACACGAGCAAGUUUGGAGUUUAUGACGUCGAAUAUCGACGUCAUAAACACCAUCAAGU
rnacentral:miRNA from 1 species